rnacentral:misc_RNA from 1 species
UCUCCGUAGGUGAACCUGCGGAGGGAUCAUUACCGAGCUCAUGCCCUUAGGGGUAGAUCUCCCACCCUGUGUUAUUAUUACCUUUGUUGCUUUGGCGGGCCGCCAGGCUCCGGUCAGGCUAUCGGCUUCGGCAGGUAAGCGCCGGCCAGAGGACCCUAUAUCCUGAUUAUUAGUGUCGAAUGAGUACUAUAUAGUAGUUAAAACUUUCAACAACGGAUCUCUUGGUUCUG